UUCAUUCUUUCACUCAUCCGUCCUCCUCACAGGGGGAUCCGUACAGGUGCCAUCGAUUUAGAGAGAGUGCUAAUCGGGAGGCUCACAGUUGAAACCUUGGCUUCACCUGACACAAAGCAUUACAGCAGACACGGUGACGAGCAGGAUCACAAUUAUGGAUUUGUUACAGUGGGCACAUCACAAGGCUUAUACUGUCUAAUACCACAGAAAACUGUAGUCAUGAGUGGACUACACAGCAGCAUUUGGAACAUUUCCUAACUUCUGAUGGUCAUGAAACUCAGGGCGCCCUCUCCAACUCUCCAUCUUGCAUCAUCCAGGAUGGGGACUGCUGGUGAGGGGAUAGUGAUGCUCCAUAUGGCCACGUAAGAGCCAAACGACCUGACAGGCUCUUUCUCUUUCUGUUUGUCUUUCUGGAUGGAUGGGUGGACGGACAGACGGACGGACGGAUAUGCAGACAGUCUGUCUGCCAACACCAUGUCUACCACUCCCCUGAGUGCACUGUAGACUAAAUUGACUACACAGCAGCCGCGGAGCAAUGCUAUGAUAAUGAUAUGAUAAUUGGGAAUAAAAUAGGGUUGAAACUGAACAUCCGCCUGGAUGCAUAAUCACU